rnacentral:rRNA from 1 species
GGUGUAGGCGGUUUGGCAAGUCGAGUGUGAAAUCCCAGGGCCCAACCCUGGAACUGCACUCGAUACUGCUUGACUAGAGUCCCGGAGAGGGUGGCGGAAUUCCCGGUGUAGAGGUGAAAUUCGUAGAUAUCGGGAGGAACACCAGUGGCGAAGGCGGCCACCUGGACGGUGACUGACGCUCAGACCCGAAAGCGUGGGGAGCAAACAGGAUUAGAUACCCUGGUAGUCC